rnacentral:rRNA from 1 species
AGUGAACGCUGGCGGCAGGCCUAACACAUGCAAGUCGAACGGCAGCACAGUAAGAGCUUGCUCUUACGGGUGGCGAGUGGCGGACGGGUGAGGAAUACAUCGGAAUCUACUUUUUCGUGGGGGAUAACGUAGGGAAACUUACGCUAAUACCGCAUACGACCUACGGGUGAAAGCAGGGGAUCUUCGGACCUUGCGCGAUUGAAUGAGCCGAUGUCGGAUUAGCUAGUUGGCGGGGUAAAGGCCCACCAAGGCGACGAUCCGUAGCUGGUCUGAGAGGAUGAGCAGCCCCACGGGAACGGAGAAACGGCGCAGACUACUACGGGAGGCAGCAGCUGGGAAUAUUGGACAAGGGGGGCAAGCCUGCUCCAGCAAUACCGCGUGGGUGAAGAAGGCCUUGGGGUGGUAAAGCCCUUUUGUUGGGAAAGAAAAGCAGCAGGUUAACACCCCGCUGUUCUGACGGUACCCAAAGAAUAAGCACCGGCUAACUUCGUG